rnacentral:misc_RNA from 1 species
GAAAUGCGAUAAGUAAUGUGAAUUGCAGAAUUCAGUGAAUCAUCGAAUCUUUGAACGCACCUUGCGCUCCUUGGUAUUCCUUGGAGCAUGCCUGUUUGAGUAUCAUGAAAUCUUCAAAGUAAAUCUUUUGUUAACUCAAUUGGUUUCUACUUUGGUAUUGGAGGUCUUUGCAGCUCCACACCUGCUCCUCUUUGUUCAUUAGCUGGAUCUCAGUGUUAUGCUUGGUUCCACUCGGCGUGAUAAGUUAUCUAUCGCUGAGGACACUGUAAAAGGUGGCCAAGGUAAAUGCAGAUGAACCGCUUCUAAUAGUCCAUUGACUUGGACAAUACUUUUAUGAUCUGAUCUCAAAUCAGGUAGGACUACCCGCUGAACUUAAGC